rnacentral:pre_miRNA from 1 species
CAAGUACUCCCUUCGUCCGGAAAUACUUGUCAUCAAAAUGGAUAAAAGGGGAUGUAUCUAGACGUAUUUUAGUUCUAGAUACAUCUCUUUUUAUCCAUUUUGAUGACAAGUAUUUUCGGACGGAGGGAGUAGUAC